AUUGAACGCUGGCGGCAUGCUUUACACAUGCAAGUCGAACGGUAACAGCCUUCGGGUGCUGACGAGUGGCGAACGGGUGAGUAAUGCAUCGGAACGUACCCAGAGGUGGGGGAUAACGCAGCGAAAGCUGUGCUAAUACUGCAUGUGAUCUGAGGAUGAAAGCGGGGGACCGAGCAGCAAUGUUUGGCCUCGCGCCUUUGGAGCGGCCGAUGUCGGAUUAGCUAGUUGGUGGGGUAAAGGCCUACCAAGGCGACGAUCCGUAGCUGGUCUGAGAGGACGACCAGCCACACUGGGACUGAGACACGGCCCAGACUCCUACGGGAGGCAGCAGUGGGGAAUUUUGGACAAUGGGCGCAAGCCUGAUCCAGCAAUGCCGCGUGCGGGAAGAAGGCCUUCGGGUUGUAAACCGCUUUUGGCAGGAACGAAACGGUGUCCGCUAAUACCGGGCGCUAAUGACGGUACCUGCAGAAUAAGCACCGGCUAACUACGUG
rnacentral:rRNA from 1 species